CAGGAUCAGGAAGCAUCUUUCUAGAUAGCCACUCUGAGAGAGAGAGAAAGAAACUUCAGCUUGGAAUCACCAUAUUGGGAAGGGGCGGAGUUCCUUCUUUUAAAAUGCAGGCCUGCAUAUCCCCCCCCCCCACUUGACGCUUCUGAAAGAGGGACUUUUCCCUCUGCCGGUCCCUCUUCCUGUCCUGCUCUCCGCUCAAAUUGGCUGCCUGGGGUUCAUCAAGCAGGUGAGAUUCAACCCACCCACCUACCCACCGCCGCUUUGGGUUGCUGUAUGCAAAUGAGGAAAAGAGGCGGGGCCCUUUGGGGCGGCCAAGAGAGAGAGAGAGAGAAACAAGUCGAGGGGACAAAAUUUCUCUCUCCCGGCCUUAUCAGGGGCGCCUGGGCUUUGCCUCGUGAUUUAUACUUCGGGCUCUUUCCACCCCAUUGGGCAAUCUUCUUCCAGCUGCUUUUCUGAGGAAAUAAAUGACUUUUCUGCUUCCUUUGAAACGAGGCCCUUCUGGACUCCUCUCCGGUUUGGCUCCGGCAUUUUGCUCAGCUAAGAGUGUGAAUCUGUGCAAGAGCUCCUGGUCUGCAGCCAGUGGAAGUAUCCUUCAGGGGUUCAACCUCCCCCAGAGUCCUCCAGCUUGAGCAGUGAAGAGUGAGGUGGAUCAGAGGAAGGCUCUGCUGUAACCGUUUGUUACCAGAGAUCGACAACCGCUGAUGACAAAAGACCAGGGCACACUGGCUUCUCCCAGCCUCUUUUUCCCCCUGGUUGUUAGCCAGCCCUUAACAAUAGCAGAGAAGAUGGUCCUUUGCAGGAGAAGGUGAUUCAGAUGAGUGAAAUUCAAACCACCAUCAGUGGAAACAAACUGAGUUUGUUCUGCAUUCUCCAUCUCAUAGGAAAGUGUGAUUCAUCCCUGAUACUCAGGCCUUCAUGUAUUUUACAAAUCCGUAUCUAGAAGAUACCAUAAGAACAUGGAAAAGGUAGGAGCUACAAUUGACUGAUUCUUCUGUCUUGCUACCUUUUAAUAUAUCUAACAAAUAUGGUCAAAAAAAUUGGAAGAUUGAAGAUCUUACAGGAUUUAACCUGAUUGAACCCUGACAUUUUUGUACAUAUUUUUACUGCAUAAUCAAAUUCCAACCCUCUUUUAAAUGAGACAUUGCGGUUACUUCCUUUUGAGCUCACUAUGAAAGUUAACAAUAUUUGAACACUGGAAAUAUUCUCAUCCCUGAAAAGCAAGGGAAUCCUCUGAUUGUUAUGUCAGGGUUAGUGUCUGACUGUGCAGGAAGUCAGUUUCAGAUCUGGAUUUGACGGAACAGCUUGCAGCUAAUUAUUAAACUCACAGUUGACCUUAUUAAUAGCAUUGGCCAGCUUUAGUUCAUGUUGCCAUUGUUGGCAGCAUCUUAACCUCCUCACUUUCAUUUGUCUUUAUUUUUUCCUCUAUUGUCAUUGUCAUUGCACCUUCUUUCUGAUGCCUCCCUUGGGCUUGUCCCCUUUUUGUAUUAUAAGAUCCUUGAGCAAAGAUCUCCCUGCUAUGCUUUAUGGUUCCAAGGUCUGCAGCAAAGUAGCGGCAACAGCAAUAACAAUAAUAAAGCAGGCUUACAACAA